CUUUGAAUUAAUUUCCUAUGUUUGGCUGUGUGUGCUCGUUUCUUCUAUAAGCAUAUGUUGGUGGGUCAUUUAUCGAAGCCACAGGAAGUAGAGUAUGGGCAUAAUUUGUGUUAGCAUUUCUAUCAGCAAAUACCUAACAAUGUUUUUGAAGACUCCUGUUUCAUGUAAGUGCUUAAAUGGAAAUUUUGUUGCAAUCAUUCAAUCAACCAAUAUGUUUUUAUCCCAAACUAGUUGGGCUGGCUAUAUGAACCCUAAAAUCUACGCAGUCGAUGUACUGGGUUUUAUCCUAAAAAUAAAAACAAUGCAUCUCGUUCCUUUUUAAGUCCAACACUUUCAGUUUUUGUUUUGAUAGUAUGAAACUUUAUUUGGCACCGUUUUUCUUCUGUUAGGACAAACCAACCCCAUGCGUACUAUUACGCCUAUGAUGUGUUUGCUUCGUGGAAUCCACCAACCAGACAACACAAAAUUCUUGUGUGUCCAUAUAUAAAAAACUCUCCCUGUAUUAUUAGAAUAAAGUUUAGAAGAUCAUCAGUUCGAGAGUGUGAGUGAGGGUCUUAGCACCAAACAUUGUGUAUAUUGGUCUCUAGACAACAUAGGUUGUGUAUAUUGGUCUCUAGAUCAUAACAGUCUUGCAUAAGAGGAAGCAACUCAUCUGAAUGGAGGUCAAAAGACCAAUGGCAAUUUUAUCAAAUUCAUCACCUAUAGGUGAGUAAUCUUGAUUUUGUUUUUUCCACUUUUUUAAUCUUUGCAAUUGGCUUUUCCGGAUUUAUACAAGUGUAAGUUGGACUUUACUCUUAUUAAUUUCAAACUACACUUCUAUGACACCAUCAUGUGCACUUGUUAGUGGUGAAAAAGUGUUGUUUUAUGAAUUUUCGAAUGCAAUUUAGCCAAUCCCAAAAGGUCUUGAAAAAAGGAGAAGAAAAAACACAAAUAGCCGCCACCUAAUCUCUUAAGCUAAAAAUAACCGGCAAAUAUAUAUAUAAUUGUGUAUGAUCAAUGUAUAAUCUAUAUAUACCGGUUAGAAAAAAUAAACACUGAAUCUGGCCGGCUAUGGAAAGGUAAUUUCAAUUGUAAAUUUCAUGCCAGAUAGAUAAAUGAGCACAAAAUGGCAAUGAUUUAAAAGAUAACACUUUCAGUUCGUAUUAUCAAACGACUCUGCUAUCAAAACCAUUCACUUAAAGUAAUAUGAUUCAUAAUUGGGUCUUGAAUAUAGAAGAGUAUAAUGCUACUAUAUAUUAUCUCCGGACCAUAUUCAUUGUUAGAAAUAAAAUAUAAUUAAAUAAAUAAAGUUGAAAUAAAUGACAAAUAGCAGGCAUGCCGAGCACUUUUUAUGGCUCUUCUACUUAUUUUAACAUUAUUUUAAUCUAUAUAUUUAUUUAUUUAUGUGUAAAAAACAGAUGAUCAUUUGAAAAGUGAGUUUAGAAGCAUUAGAAGGAAAUCGUGACGGCUAAAGCUAUGUUUAAAAGAUAGCCUAUCAGAGGUAGUAUUAAGUUUACUUUAAUGCGUAAAAGGAAAGAGAGGAAAAAAAAAAA
rnacentral:lncRNA from 1 species